rnacentral:rRNA from 1 species
AGGACGAACGCUGGCGGCGUGCUUAACACAUGCAAGUCGAACGAUGAACUCACCUUCGGGUGGGGGAUUAGUGGCGAACGGGUGAGUAACACGUGGGCAACCUGCCCCUGACUCUGGGAUAACUCCGGGAAACCGGAGCUAAUACCGGAUAUGAACACGAAGGACAUCCUUUGUGUUGGAAAGUUUUUCGGUCAGGGAUGGGCCCGCGGCCUAUCAGCUAGUUGGUGGGGUAAUGGCCCACCAAGGCGACGACGGGUA